rnacentral:rRNA from 1 species
ACGCUCGACACCUACGGGAGGCAGCAGUAGGGAAUCUUCCACAAUGGACGCAAGUCUGAUGGAGCAACGCCGCGUGAGUGAAGAAGGUUUUCGGAUCGUAAAGCUCUGUUGUUGGUGAAGAAGGAUAGAGGUAGUAACUGGCCUUUAUUUGACGGUAAUCAACCAGAAAGUCACGGCUAACUACGUGCCAGCAGCAGCGGUAAUCUGAGCGGGCUGGCAAGGC